rnacentral:rRNA from 1 species
GGGCCCGCACAAGCAGCGGAGCGUGUGGUUUAAUUCGAUGCAACGCGCAGAACCUUACCUCGACUUGACAUGCAUGUGGUACCAACCUGAAAGGGAAGGGACCCGCGAGGGAGCAUGCACAGAUGCUGCAUGGCUGUCGUCAGCUCGUGCCGUGAGGUGUUGGGUUAAGUCCCGCAACGAGCGCAACCCUUGUCCUUAGUUGCCUUCUCUAAGGAGACCGCCGGUCUAAACCGGAGGAAGGUGGGGAUGACGUCAAGUCAGCACGGCUCUUACGUCGAGGGCUACACACACGCUACAAUGGCCGGUACAACGGGCUGCCAAGGGGCGACCUGGAGCUAAUCCCACCAAAGCCGGUCUCAGUUCGGAUUGCAGGCUGCAACUCGCCUGCAUGAAGUCGGAGUUGCUAGUAACUGCCGGUCAGCACACGGCGGUGAAUACGUUCCCGGGCCUU